UACGUAGGGCGCAAGCGUUGUCCGGAAUUACUGGGCGUAAAGCGCGCGUAGGCGGCUUUGUAAGUUAGAGGUGAAAGCCCGGGGCUCAACCCCGGAACUGCCUUUAAGACUGCAUCGCUUGAAUCCAGGAGAGGUGAGUGGAAUUCCGAGUGUAGAGGUGAAAUUCGUAGAUAUUCGGAAGAACACCAGUGGCGAAGGCGGCUCACUGGCCUGGUAUUGACGCUGAGGUGCGAAAGCGUGGGGAGCAAACAGG
rnacentral:rRNA from 1 species